UACGUAGGGUGCAAGCGUUGUCCGGAAUUAUUGGGCGUAAAGAGCUCGUAGGCGGUCUGUCGCGUCGGCUGUGAAAUCCCGAGGCUCAACCUCGGGUCUGCGGUGGGUACGGGCAGACUAGAGUGAUGUAGGGGAGACUGGAAUUCCUGGUGUAGCGGUGAAAUGCGCAGAUAUCAGGAGGAACACCGAUGGCGAAGGCAGGUCUCUGGGCAUUAACUGACGCUGAGGAGCGAAAGCAUGGGGAGCGAACAGG
rnacentral:rRNA from 1 species